AUGGUGAAAAAUGUGCAUCCAGGCUUGGGGUUCAGGGACCUUCACAGUUUUAAUCUUGCUUUACUAGCAAAACAGUGUUGGCGACUUCUCCAGAAUCCAGACUCUUUGUGUGCAAGGAUUCUUAGUGCAAAGUACUAUCCCGGUGGAAAUAUUCUUGAAGCGGGACCAAAGAAAGGUUCCUCGUUCACGUGGCAAAGCAUUGUUUCGGAUAUUCAAACGUUCAAGAGGGGACACAUAUGGCGUGUUGGGAACGGGGCGCAAUUCAAUAUCUGGAAUGAUCCCUGGAUUCCAACCAGUGAAAGCCGGAAGGUUAUUACACCAAGAGGACAAACGAUGAUAGAUAAAGUCGAGGACUUAAUUGAUCCAUAUUCUGGUCAAUGGGAUGAAAAGAUCUUAUGAUCAACUUUAUCACCUUUGGAUGUACACAGAAUUCUGCAAAUACCACUUCGGAUUGAAAUGCUGGAGGACUUCGUGGCCUGGCACCACACUCGGUCUGGUAUGUUUACCGUAAGAUCUGCAUAUCAUGUUGAAUUUCUUCACCAAUUCGGGAGCAACUGGAACCGUAGUGCGGGAGCGGGAAGCAGUCAACAAUGUGAAUCAUGGAGGAGAGUUUGGGAGCUUAAGCUACCGGGGAAGGUGAAACAUUUUGUGUGGAAGGUUAUGAGGGGAGUACUUCCGUAUCUAGGCACGCUAGCAGGGAGACAUAUCCCAACGAUGCCCAGUGCCCGUACUACAGAAUUGGAUAUGAAGACUCGCAACAUUGCUUAUUUACUUGCGACCGAGCCUUGGAUAUAUGGAAGGAACUGGGGCUGA
rnacentral:rRNA from 1 species